CUCCUUCCCCGGUGCCGGUCACCUCCCUCCACCACGCGCCACUCCCCUCCUUCUCCAGCGCCGGCCACCUACCUAAAUCAUGCAGAUCCACACCAUCCCCGCACUCCUCCUUCAUCCUGCUGGCAGAUCUCGUGCGCCGCGCUCUGGCAGUCGGUGAUGCUUCCCUGCCACCACUCUGCCUCCUUCCCCGAUGGGGCAACAUCGCCGCGCGUACAAGAAGUUCAUCACCGCCACCUUAGGCAGUUCAAUGUCGACGUCGUGGAUGCGCCCCACUCCAACGCCAUGGCUUGGGCUUCAGCGGCAAACAAUGGAGCCUGCAGGGGGAGCCGCGGGGUCGAGGACGUCUAGUUCAACAGUUCAACUGCUUGCUCGGCCGCCGGUCAAUCAAGGAGCUUGUCAUUCCCUACUGUGCAACCAUCAAGCGUGUGCUAAUUGUGACUGAGGUUGCACUGCUCACGGUAGGUCUCGGCGUUUGAAACAAUUAGCAGCAAUACAGAGAGCAGUUUCACACUACAGAAACCAAUGGUGAAAACUUCUGAAUGCAGCAAUGGCAUGCUCCCAGCCCGCCGAGACUGAAUCAUUCGACACUACUUCUCUGUACAGUGUGGCUCGAUGUGCAGCCCGCCGGCUCCAUUGUGUACAUCCAGACAAGACGCUAUGGUGUAGAAUUUAAUGCAUGAAAUAUUAUCGUCUAGGAAUACAUCAGCAGGGAAGGUCGCUGCUUCAGGAGUAGCAGCGCGCCGCUGUUGACGCUACAAGGGGAGGCAGAAGUGGGGUGAGGCACUGUGACGGUCGCAUUCCAGGAGGUCCGUCAGAGCUUUAGAAAGGUGA